GGGUGAUACUAUGACUGCCCUGUGGUCUGGGUGAUACUAUGACUGCCGCCUGGGUCUGGGUGAUACUAUGACUACCGCGUGCGUCUGGGUGAUACUAUUACUGCCGCGUGGGUCUGACUAUGACUGCCCCGUGGGUCUGGGUGACACUAUGACUGCCCUGUGGGUCUGGGUGAUACUAUGACUGCCGCGUGGGUCUGGGUGAUACUAUGACUGCCGCGUGGGUCUGGGUGAUACUAUGACUGCCCCGUGGGUCUGGGUGAUACUAUGACUGUGGGUCUGGGUGACACUAUGACUGCCCCGUGGGUCUGGGUGACACUAUGACUGCCCCGUGGGUCUGGGUGAUACUAUGACUGCCCUGAGGGUCUGGGCGACACUAUGACGGCCCCGUGGGUCUGGGUGACACUAUUACUGCCCCGUGGGUCUGGGUGACACUAUGACUGCCGCGUGGGUCUGGGUGAUACUAUGACUACCGCGUGCGUCUGGGUGAUACUAUUACUGCCGCGUGGGUCUGAGUGUUU